GACGAAGGUGGCUAGCGUUGUUCGGAAUCACUGGGCUUAAAGAGCACGUAGGCGGCUCAUCAAGCGCUUUGUGAAAUCCCUCGGCUCAACCGAGGAAUUGCUUGGCGGACUGAUGGGCUUGAGGUAGGCAGGGGCGAGUGGAACUCUUGGUGGAGCGGUGGAAUGCGUAGAUAUCAAGAGGAACGCCGGCGGUGAAGACGACUCGCUGGGCCUGUCCUGACGCUGAGGUGCGAAAGCCAGGGGAG
rnacentral:rRNA from 1 species